AGAGCGAACGCUGGCGGCAGGCCUAACACAUGCAAGUCGAGCGCCCGUAGCAAUACGGGAGCGGCAGACGGGAUAGUAACACGUGGGAACGCGCCCUUCGGUUCGGAAUAACUCAGGGAAACUUGAGCUAAUACCGGAUACGCCCUUACGGGGAAAGAUUUAUUGCCGAAGGAACGGCCCGCGUCCGAUUAGCUAGUUGGUGAGGUAAUGGCUCACCAAGGCGACGAUCGGUAGCUGGUCUGAGAGGAUGACCAGCAUCACUGGGACUGAGACACGGCCCAGACUCCUACGGGAGGCAGCAGUGGGGAAUAUGGACAAUGGGCGCAAGCCUGAUCCAGCCAUGCCGCGUGGAUGAUGAAGGCCUUAGGGUUGUAAAGUCCUUUUAACGGGGAGAUAAUGACGGUACCGUAGAAUAAGCCCCGGCUAACUUCGUGCCAGCAGCCGC
rnacentral:rRNA from 1 species